UACGUAGGAGGCAAGCGUUAUCCGGAAUGACUGGGCGUAAAGGGUGCGUAGGUGGUUUGACAAGUUAGUAGCGCAACUCCGGAGCUCAACUUCGGAACUACUACUAAAACUGUUGGACUUGAGUGCAGGAGGGGCAAUCGGAAUUCCUAGUGUAGCGGUGAAAUGCGUAGAUAUUAGGAGGAACACCAGUGGCGAAGGCGGCUUACUGGACGAUGACUGACGCUGAGGCUCGAAAGCGUGGGGAGCAAACAGG
rnacentral:rRNA from 1 species